GAUGAACGCUGGCGGCGUGCCUAAUACAUGCAAGUCGAGCGAACAGACGAGGAGCUUGCUCCUCUGACGUUAGCGGCGGACGGGUGAGUAAUACCUGGAUAACCUACCUAUAAGACUGGGAUAACUUCGGGAAACCGGAGCUAAUACCGGAUAAUAUAUUGAACCGCAUGGUUCAAUAGUGAAAGACGGUUUUGCUGUCACUUAUAGAUGGAUCCGCGCCGCAUUAGCUAGUUGGUAAGGUAACGGCUUACCAAGGCAACGAUGCGUAGCCGACCUGAGAGGGUGAUCGGCCACACUGGAACUGAGACACGGUCCAGACUCCUACGGGAGGCAGCAGUAGGGAAUCUUCCGCAAUGGGCGAAAGCCUGACGGAGCAACGCCGCGUGAGUGAUGAAGGUCUUCGGAUCGUAAAACUCUGUUAUUAGGGAAGAACAAAUGUGUAAGUAACUAUGCACGUCUUGACGGUACCUAAUCAGAAAGCCACGGCUAACUACGUG
rnacentral:rRNA from 1 species